rnacentral:lncRNA from 1 species
AGAGCAAACAGCCCUGCUAUCCCUGCUGCAUAGUACAGCCUGCCAGUCCCAUCAUUUCCCAGAAGGCAGCAGACAGAAUGAAGAGGCAAAAGGGGAAGUGCCUACUUAACACAGCUCAGGGAUGACAACCAGGAUGGUGUCGCUGAUGAUGAUGAUGAGAAGCUCUUCUUCCUGGAUAUGCGGUGCUUUGAUGUGCUGGCUCUGACUAGCUCUGACCCUGUGUUCCCAAGACCCAGGGAGCCUUUGAGGACACCUCGGGGGGAGCAGGUCAUAAGCCAAUGACUCAUUCGUGUUGGGUUGUGGGGUGAGUGGUAACCUCCAAAAUGUGCUCCUGCUCCCUCCCUGCAUGGGAAGUGAAGCCAACCGAGGCAGAGGUGGCCUGUCUGGGCCAACCUUUCCCUCAAGGUGGCAGAAAUGCCCCCAUCAGAAAUGCUCUUUUAGAGCAAACAUUGUCCCCUCCAGGAGCAUCUUAAAAUGUAAAUAUGCUGGGACAAUGUGUGCCUUCUGUGUUCCGGGCCCUGAAAACACUGCAAGAGGAGAAAAGCUACAGCCUCUACCCCCUUAUUUUCCUGAAGGUAGACUGGAGAGUGCAGAGGCUUCCCCCACAUUUCAGGCUCCCCUGCGGAAUGAGAAGCAGCCUCUCGUCCCCUUGUCAGUGCUGAGCCCAUAGGGGUGGUAGCCAACACGAGAGGCAGCGAAGCCUGUUCAAACUUGUAUUUAUUUUCUAAGAGGUCGGGAUGAGGGCAUGGGGAUGGGGAUGCAUAACUUGGGUUUCGGGAGGAGCCACAGACCUUGGGGAGAAGGAUGGAGCCUCCUGCCCUCAGUCGUGCUGCUAGUAGGGGUGAUUCAGGGUGUGCUCCAUGAUGGUCCGAAGCGCCAUCCACGUCUCCUGGGCCGUGGGGAUGAUCUGUGUGGCCGGCAGCAGGAAGCCAUACUGCCCAGUGUCCCGGAGCUCAAAGCUGAAGGCGUACUUGAUGCCACUGUCAUAGGCCCAGUCGACGGUGAUCCCACUGGCCACAUCUAGAAACAAAAGUUCCAAAAUGUGCCCCACAAAAGGAAGAAGGGGAUGUGGCUGCAAGGUACAGAGGCAUCCUGGGUGGAAAGUGAGCCCUGGGAGCCAAACCCCCACCCACCCCAGGCCACACCAGGCUUCCUGCCCAGGCCUCAAACAGGAUCACAUCUGUGCACCCAGCCCAUUCUCUACUCCUGCAAAAAGAAAGCUCCUGCAGGCUACUAGGCUUAGGAACCUUGCAGUAAGCCAGGCACUGGGAGCUGUGCACAAAAGCUGCCAAGAAACAGCUCCCUGGGUACCACUGUUCACCCUUCUAUCCAGUGUGGGAGGCAGCUUUGGGCCAGCACAGCUAGAUCCUUGGCACUGCCCUGCAGCCAGCCCCAGGUAGAUGUGGUGUCUGAAGCAGGGCCAGGGGAGGCUCACUCACAGAGGGUGGUGCUGAUGCUGCCAAAAAUGUACUCGAUCCCAUGGACCUUAUACAAGGCCUCCACCGCAUCCUUGGCAAGAUCGUACUGCAAGAUGACAUUGGCGGGGUGAAAGGCAGGGGCUCCCCGGGGCUCCCACACACUCCCCCACCCUCACCAGCUGGUGAGAAGCAUGGAUUUAGCAGUCCUGGAAGUUGAAGGUGGAGAUGGCCCUUGUGAGAAGGGAGCACAGCAUUUCCAGCUUUGAACUUGAUCACACGUGAGAACAGCAAGCUCCCCCUACCCCACCCCCGCACCAUGGGGUCAAUCAGCCCAGACCCCUGCAUUCAGAGUAACAACCUGAGCCCUCUGGGAGUAUGACAGAUAUGGAUUUUCCUGUGAAGCGGUCUCUUCUCCCCAGGCCCUAAGCAGCCAGUCUCACCAACUCCCUCUGAUUUGAAACGGGCUCCAGCAAUCGGCCGUAAGGGUACAUAAGCAUCUGAGAGUAGCUGUGGAUGGAGAUCAGAGCCUUGAAGUUGCCAUGGGCUGUGAUGAAGUUCACUAUGGCAGCCACCUCCGGCUCCGACUGAGGGGAGGGCCCGUGAUAAGUUUCUGAGCAGGGGUUGCUGUUAGAACCAUUUCCUGGAAGUAAAAUAAAGCCACCCAAAGAGUCAAAUCCCCACGUGCGACACAGACGGUGCUCACAAAAUACCUGUGUGUUCCCCUACAUUUCCCAGCCUCCUUUGCAGUAUGACUGAGGUCAUGUGACUACUUUGACCAAUGGAAAGGUGAGCAGAAAUGACACGGCACUUCUGGGUUGAGAUUGUUAAGAGCAAGUGUGACUUCUCCAUGCUCUUUUCUGUCUGUGUGGCUGGAAGCAAAAAAAAAAAAUUCUAGAUAGAAACAGCCUCCUGGAUCCCUCUCUCACUGCGGAAGAAAGCCGCCAAGGAGAGUCACCUGUUCAUGUUGGACUUUGUGUGCAUGAAAAACAAACUUUCAUUGUGUUAAACCACUGAGAUUGGGAUGGAUAUUUGUUACUGCUGCAUCCUCUAAUCUAAUAUGUCAGAGGACUGCAGCCGCACCAUACCCUGCAGUUCUGAAGCCCUGCAGGGAGCCCCCUCGGCUUGUCCUGUGGUCCCUUUAGGAAGGUGGGCCUGGCUCAGAAGUUGCAUCCAGAGGAAACUGAGCUCCUGCACCUGCUCCACUUGAUGAAUGACAAACAGCAACAGAUGCGCAGAGCGGGGGGAGGUUGAAGGCUUUGUCUGCCUUUGCGGCCCACGCACAGAAAGCGGUUCCCCUGCCAACGACCAGGUGGCUUUGCCCAAAUAUGGAGAAACACUUUAGGCCAUUAGUUCUGGUUUGAGCUAAGCAGAAUAAACUAAUCUUCCCCUGGCCAAAUGGGAAUUGGCUGCCUGCAUCUCUGACGUUCACAGUCAAGGUCCUCUGAGUCCGCCUGUUUCACAAGUACCUGCUAAUGGAUUCAUUAGCUAUUUAUUUUUCCUUCUCUAAAAAUGUAAUUUGUAGCAAGGGGAAAUCUCUGGAAGGACAUGGUAAAUUAUUAAAAGCAGUGAUCUUUGAGUGGUGGGAUUAUGGGAGCUUUUUGCCCCCUCUGGGCUUUUUUCCAUAAUUGUUUUGUACACUGUGUGUAUAUGGAUAUUUUUUUUCCUGUGGUGAGACCCACAGAAGUUAUUUUCUUUAAGAGGUAAUUUAUCUUUCUACUAGCCAGCCUAUCUUGGGAUCCAUGGGUACUCACUCCAGUCAGUGCUGAGGGGCCACAUGGAUGCCCCCCCUGAGGCAAGCGUCUGUUCAUUUGGAGGUGGAAAUGCCUAAUUUUGCAUGGUCUUGUUCCAUUACACAAGCAGUUACAACCCCCACGCUAGGGCCAGGGACCUCACUCUCAGUGCUUUGGGGCCAUCCUUAUUUUUCAGUGAGAACAGACCCCAAGAAGCCAGAUUUUAAAAGCAAUGGGCAUCCAGAUCUAAAAUGUUCUAUCUCAUUGGUUGGGACACCAGCCUAUAGGUCUGAUUAUCAACAGCAAUGACACCGUCCCCUGUGGAGCCAAACCCUGAGCCCCCGGUGAAGUGCAGAUGCCAUGUCUGGGGGCCGAGGGCUGUGUCUGUUCUGGAAUCUCUGUCAUGACUGGACCCAUCAAAUUGUCCUGCCCAUCAAAUUGCUGUAUUUCCAGGGUCCAUGGACCUGUCUCUGAGCUUUCUGGAGGC